GCCGGUGUUCUAUUUAAGUGUGCCCCACCUCUUCCCAUUCCGAACAGAGAAGUGAAAGCGCUUAAAACUGAUGAUACUAUUUAGGGAAAGUAAGUUAUGCCGGCA
rnacentral:rRNA from 2 species